rnacentral:lncRNA from 1 species
CAGGAAGGCCAAGCGGACAAAGGAGCACACGCCCAGGGAGGCUCCGGGUCCCCAACUUAAAAGGGCCUUGACAAAUAACAGCUGUUCCUGUCCAACAAGCCCCUCUGUAGCUCAUUCCUUCACUGACCAUCCACUGAGCAUCUCUGUGCUCUGCAGGAACGGUGCCAGGGACCUCUUGGGUAACCAGAGGAAAACACAAGUCUUGCCCCUUGGGAAAACUGGAGAGCUAGAUAGUACCAGAUGAAAACAUCUGAGAACAGAGCGCUGACAGGUAAGCAGGAAUGGUCAGGUGGUGCUGGCCCUGGGCCUGCUGUAUGAGUGCCUUCCCACUCACUUGGCUGCGCACAGAUCUACUGGGAUCUGCCAGGGAGGAAGUUGCAGCCCACGGUGCUCCCAAAGCUCAGCAAGGAGGAAAUAGAGGCUUAGGUACCCAGCGGCCUCCAAGUCACACCUAGACCUGCCAGCAGCUCCCUGUCAGGCCCACAUGAACAAACGACCACCUUUGAUCACCUGUGUUCAUGACCCUCUUUCUGCUCUGGUCAAGUCAUCAUUCUCCAGAAUCCGAUCUGGCUUCCCACAUUCCACUGCCGCUUACACAGAGGCAGUACAUUCCUCACAGCAAGUGCUAAACCUGGCUAUAAUCUGAAUUUACUGCGAAACUUACAAAAGGUACAGACACCCAGGCUCCAUCUACCCCAGCCCACUGAAUCUGAAUCAGCUAGGCCCAGAACCAUGGCUAAAAUGAAAGGCUGUGGACUGGAAGUGGAAAGUCCUGGGUCCUGGUCUCUGAAUUCUGUGAUAAAACUACCCAUGUGACUGCAGGAAGUCUUCUCUCCAGCCUGGCCCAGGGUGGUAAGGACUCCAUACAAGAAACAGCUGAGCCCCGGGUGCCUUCCCUCCUCUGAGCCUCAGUCCCCACACUUGUGAGUGAGAGGGGCUGGAGUUUCAGUGCCAAGAACGGUGCAGCUCCCCAGGGAGGCUGAGAGUCACACUGGUGAUUUCUUCCUCCCCUUCAGUGGUUCAGAGCUCUCCUGGGAGUGGU